GUGCCAGCAGCCGCGGUAAUACGAACCGUCCAAACGUUAUUCGGAUUUAUUGGGCUUAAAGGGUAUGUAGGCGGCGCUGUCAGUCGGGUGUGAAAUCCCUCGGCUCAACCGAGGAACUGCGCCCGAUACUGCAGUGCUUGAGGGAGACAGAGGUAAGCGGAACUGAUGGUGGAGCGGUGAAAUGCGUUGAUAUCAUCAGGAACACCAGUGGCGAAAGCGGCUUACUGGGUCUCUUCUGACGCUGAGAUACGAAAGCUAGGGGAGCGAACGGGAUUAGAAACCCUAGUAGUCC
rnacentral:rRNA from 1 species